rnacentral:tRNA from 1 species
GCCAGUGUGGCUCAGUGGUAGAGCAUUGACCUAUGACCAGGAGGUGAGGGUUCAAUUCCCAUCAGGGCA